GGUAGCAUAAUCAUUAGUCUCCUAAUUAGAGGCUUGUAUGAAUGGUCGGACAAGAUAGGGACUGUCUCAGUAUAAAAAAUGAAAUUUAAUAUUUAAGUAAAAAAGCUUAAAUAAAUUGGAGGGACGAUAAGACCCUAUAAAGCUUUAUGGUAAAAUUUUUGUAUAUAAAUUAUAUAAUAUUAAAUUAUUAAAAAAUAAAUACCAUUUUACUGGGGCGGUAAAAGUAUAUUUUUGAUUAACUGCUUUUGUUAUUAAAAACAGUCGUAGCUGAAUAAUCAGUUGAUCCAUUAUUAAUGAUCAUAAGUUCAAGUUACUUUAGGGAUAACAGCGUAAUUUUUCUUGAGAGUCCUUAUCGAAAGAAAAGUUUGCGACCUCGAUGUUGAAUUAAGGAAGCCUUAAGGUGCAGCAGUUUUAAAUAGGCAGAUCUGUUCGAUCUUUAAAUCUUUACAUGAUUUG
rnacentral:rRNA from 1 species